rnacentral:ribozyme from 14 species
AAAAAAAAGAAUUGGAGGGAGAAUAUGGAGCAGAUAUAGAUGUAUUUUGCAUUUUGAGCACGUUUUUCAAUUUUCUUUUUUUCUGUACUUAAAUAGCUUUCUUUCGUGCCAUCAAAAAGUCAUAUAUCUGUCAAAUGUAGAAAUUUAAUGAAAUUCCAAAAUGCGAUAAUGGAAGGAGAGAGA